ensembl:lncRNA
AGCCACUGCAAGAUCAUAGACAGGCGAGGAGAACUCACAAAGUGAAAUUUUCAUGAUAUGGGACCUUUACAAAUGGAGAAACCCCACUGGGGGUUUGCUUUCUUUGUCAUAGUCAUAUUAUAACAGGAGAGCUUCAGUGGACUGUUUUUUGCUCCUUCUCACACAAAGCUUUAAAGCUUCUCUUCUCUUCUGAACUCCUGGAAUUAUUGUUAUUAAAAGAAUAUACAUAACCACCACUCAACAACUGUACCUGUGAAACAUCCUUUUCUUUUUCUAUGUCUGCCUGUAGUUUACUGGAUUGCUGCCACUCCGUAUGUAAGGCAGACUGCAGACGUCUGACCUCUUCUUUCAGCAGCUGCAUCUGAGGGGGUGACAAGAGAUCCCUGAACAUUCCAACACCAGUGCUGAGAGUCUAAUACCUCAAAGCCCUCUGAAAUGAUAAAGUAUAGAGCACACAUUGAAAACAAGUAUUUUUAUAUGUUGUUGUUUUUUUUUUAUUUAGAACCUUUUGGUACAGAGAACAGUCAAGUUGCAGUUUCUGAAUCAAGUUCCUCUGUCCCUCUGCUCAGCUCACCCCAGGCAAAGUGCAUCGUGUCUCUGGAGGAAGGUGAUGAGGCACCAGGCUCACCCGCUUUGGUCUCCAGGGUCUCAGGUCUCUCCAGCAGUGAGGACCUCUCUGCAAGCAGGUAGGCCACCUGCUCGCUGGGGCUGAAUGGGAUGAGCUCGACCAGGCCGGCCUGGUACAGCAUCUCCGCCACCUCGUUCUUUUGAGAAUCUGCACAGAGCCGUCGGGGUACAGCAGGUCACCACCACAGAGGUGCCAGCCAACUCAGAUCAAAUCAAAAGGAGAGCGCGCACCUUGCUGAAGGCUCAUCUGCUUCAACUGGGUGUGCAGCAUUUGGUUUUCCUGCCCGUACUUCAGACCCACUAAGUUCUGCUUAUCGCUCAGAGCUCGAAUUUGCUCCAGCGUCUUCUGGACCUUAGAGCGCACAGGUAAGAUUAGACAUGCAGCUCAAAACUAGAAAUUCCAAAUCAAGCCUAAGGUCCAUCACCUACAUACCAUUGCCUUCUCUGCCACAUGCUCUGACUGCAGGGACUUCAGCUUGUGCGUGACUGUGCCGAGGCUGUUCUCCGUCCGUCUGUAGAGCUUCCACAGGUGCAGCAGUCGCUGCGUCAUGCUGGCCUCGGGGCUCAUGCCAUCCUCCACCAGUCGAAUCUCCAUCUCCUCCAGCUCCUUAAAACACUGUGUUAACAUACACAUGUAAAAACUGUAACCUCAGUUUUACAUACAGUGUAAAAUCUCAGGUAUGACAUCCUUCAAAAUACACAAUUCUUGGAAAUUCUUGGAAAUAACUUGUGUCCAAACCCUACCAGGACCUCUUCAAGCAUCUAGUACUAAAUACAAGCCUGAUAUGUCUUGUGAAUAAUUAUAUUAUUUGUACUAAUUCUCACAUGUUUUCAGUAUACACAAUACACAAUAAAGUAGUAAUGAUGGCAAUAUGCUUCCAGCUAAACCGAAUCCAACUUCCAACUGAAUACAUAAUAAGUAAUUUCAGUGAAUUGACUUCAUGUUCUUUUGACCCAGCUUGAAUGCUUCAUUAAAUGUGCAACUUUUAAUAAAGCGCAGCGCAGUCAAUUUUACACACUGAUCAGACGUCGCACCGGUUCAAUUUACAGUACUUAACAAAAAGUGGAGACCUGGCCUCCACUGUCACCGGACCUGAACCCAGUCGAGAUGGUUUGGGGUGAGCUGGACCGCAGAGUGAAGGUAAAGGGGCCAACAAGUGCUAAACACCUCUGGGAACUCCUUCAAGACUGUUGCAAAAGCGUUUCAGGUGACGACCUCUUGAAGCUCAUCGAGAGAAUGCCAAGAGUGUGCAAAGCAGUAAUCAGAGCAAAGAAACUAGAACAUAAAACAUGUUUUCAGUUAUUUCACCUUUUUUUGUUAAGUACAUAACUCCACAUGUGUUCAUUCAUAGUUUUGAUGCCUUCAGUAAGAAUCUACUAAUGUAAAUGGUCAUGAAAAUAAAGAAAACACAUUGAAUGAGAAAGUGUGUCCAAACUUUUGGCCUGUAUAGAAACACCAGCAGUUUUAAUUUAAAUUAGGGCAGUGGUGGCCUAGCGGGUAAGGAAAUGGACCUGGUUCGAGCUGAGCACCGUCCCCACACUCUGCUCCCCGGGCGCCUGUCAUGGCCGCCCGCUGCUCACUAAGGGAGAUGGUUAAAAGCAGAGGACACAUUUCGUUGUGUGCACCGUGUGCUGUGC